GACGAACGCUGGCGGCGUGCUAAACACAUGCAAGUCGAACGAAGAGCGAUGGAAGCUUGCUUCUAUCAAUCUUAGUGGCGAACGGGUGAGUAACGCGUAAUCAACCUGCCCUUCAGAGGGGGACAACAGUUGGAAACGACUGCUAAUACCGCAUACGAUCUGACCUCGGCAUCGAGGAUAGAUGAAAGGUGGCCUCUACAUGUAAGCUAUCACUGAAGGAGGGGAUUGCGUCUGAUUAGCUAGUUGGAGGGGUAACGGCCCACCAAGGCGAUGAUCAGUAGCCGGUCUGAGAGGAUGAACGGCCACAUUGGGACUGAGACACGGCCCAGACUCCUACGGGAGGCAGCAGUGGGGAAUCUUCCGCAAUGGACGAAAGUCUGACGGAGCAACGCCGCGUGAGUGAUGACGGCCUUCGGGUUGUAAAGCUCUGUUAAUCGGGACGAAAGGCCUUUUUGCGAAUAGUGAGAAGGAUUGACGGUACCGGAAUAGAAAGCCACGGCUAACUACGUG
rnacentral:rRNA from 1 species